GCUUAUUAUUCACUGCCCUCCUGUACUUAUCACGUCAGUGUAAUGACUUAUUUUGAUAAUAGCGAGAGAGAAAAUGUAAUAGACUAUUAAACUUAUCCUGAAUUCCCUCCCUAAGACGGCGGUCGUUGUUCGUAAAGAUGAAAAACCUUUACAGUUGUACGUCAAGUAAGCAUUAUUCUUCUGAUAUAGUUUGGUGUACCUAAGGUACAUUUACUAAAACUGUACCUGCACGGUUCUGGGGAAGGCUAACACAGGCUUUUAAGAAUGGGUAAACUAGCUAGUGACUAUUUUAAUUAGUAAUGUAAUUACUAGCUACAUUACGUACAUAAAGACUUGCAUAUGCUCUUUUAAACUUGUUAAAAACAAUGAGCCUGUGCCUUUUUAUACUACUUUUCUGUGUGUUUUUCCCCCCUCAUAUACAGAUUCUCUUUUAGUUAAUGAACAGUCAUGUCAAAAAUGACUCGCCUCUGUUCUUGAAUGACUUUACUGUGCCAGCAACUGAUAUCUCUUAAGAGACUGUAGCAUUAGAGAAACGUCACAUUGCAUACUGUGUCAUGGGUUGUUUGACUUCGUUUAUGGUCUAAAGGCUUUGCUCUGCAGUACUUUUCUUGUAGGCGGUGGAAAAUUGGCUACAAUGCGAAUCAAUCACUAACGACCUGAUGCCCAGUGAUUUGUUGCUGUACAGUCGUACUUACAGAAAGUCACAUGAUAGCAAUCCAAAAGGGAAUGUUCAACCCAAAGCAAUUACCGGGGAAACAUUGGGAAAACCUGAAAUCAGUUACAUUAGCGGCACCUGUUCUUACUUGGGGGUCUCCAGCACUCACCAAAGCCGCGGCACAGCUUAUCUACAGGAAUCUGGAGCGGGUGGAAUCCAAGAGGGAACUGGAGAUUUUUCAGGACCAAAGCGGGGCCGGAGCGCUACUUGCUGAACUCUGGUUGGAGUAUAAGGGCAGAUCAGGGCCAUAAGAAUAUACCCCGCCGUCCUCAGCCCAUCUGUUCCUGCUUGGCCUCUCGAGCUCUCCAUCAGGUAGGCCUGAGCCAUUGAGUGCUCCUUCAACUCAUGGCAUCUGAAUAAGCCAGGCAGAGGAGUGUAUGUGUGUGUGUGUGUGUGUGUGUGUGUUUGCACAUAUGCACCUGCACAAGGUCUUUUUUUAAUGUACCGUCUACAGUGUUUGAUAAAUAGGGGCCUU
rnacentral:lncRNA from 1 species